GUCCACGCCGUAAACGAUGGGUGCUAGGUGUCGCGGGCUUUGACCCCUGCGGUGCCGUAGCUAACACAUUAAGCACCCCGCCUGGGGAGGUACGGCCGCAAGGCUAAAACUACAAAGGAAUUGACGGGGGCCCGGCACAAGCGGUGGAGCAUGUGGUUCAAUUCGACGCAACGCGCAGAACCUUACCUGGGCUAGAAAAUGCAAGAACCUGGUUGAAAGAUCGGGUGCUCUUCGGAGAGCUUGUAGUUAGGUGCUGCAUGGCUGUCGU
rnacentral:rRNA from 1 species